UGUUUGAAUUGAGUUCAGAUGCCUUAUCUUUUAACAAUAUCGUUGUUUUAAGAGGCAAUUAAAAAAGAAUUGACCCGGAGUUUAUAUAUUCUGCUGGUUUGCAAAUAUCUCAGAAAUGUCGUCAAAAUAAUCGUAGAUGCGUUGACUUUGAACUGGCAAACGUAGCUUGCCACUUCUGGUUUGAUAUACUGUGGUGUCAUCAAUGCUACUUGUUUGUAUAUAGUCAGUUCUGAUUUCCUGUCCAUGACAUCUUGGUAAAAGUUGUCUGUGAUAACAAUAUUGGCUGCAGACCCAACAAAGUAUCAAAACUGCUAUUAUAAUACCAGAAGCUACCAGCGUGAAAUCUAAUAUCGGAAAGUCUGUGCCUUU
rnacentral:lncRNA from 1 species